rnacentral:tRNA from 1 species
GUGCCGGUAAGCCGAACGGUUCCGGAAUGGCGCUAUAGUAUGCACAGUUAGAGCAGAAUUCUUAUCUGACUACGGAUCAGAAGGUUGGGGGUUCGAAUCCCUCCGGGCGCA